rnacentral:snoRNA from 1 species
GAGCCAGCCAACUAAAUCUUGUCUGAAUGUGUUUCUGCCUGCCUGCAGAAAUGUAGCAAGAGUUGGCAGUAGUGAUGUCAUGUUUUGAGGCUUAAAAACAACUGAGGUCAUUAAGGUCCCUGGAAACAGCUUGGGUG